UGGGGUAUCGCCAAAUGGUAAGGCAACGGACUCUGACUCCGUCAUCUGUAGGUUCGAAUCCUACUACCUCAGCCA
rnacentral:tRNA from 1 species